rnacentral:rRNA from 1 species
AUUGAACGCUGGCGGCAGGCCUAACACAUGCAAGUCGAACGGUAACAGGAAGCAGCUUGCUGCUUUGCUGACGAGUGGCGGACGGGUGAGUAAUGUCUGGGAAACUGCCUGAUGGAGGGGGAUAACUACUGGAAACGGUAGCUAAUACCGCAUAACGUCGCAAGACCAAAGAGGGGGACCUUCGGGCCUCUUGCCAUCGGCUGUGCCCAGAUGGGAUUAGCUAGUAGGUGGGGUAACGGCUCACCUAGGCGACGAUCCCUAACUGGUCUGAGAGGAUGACCAGCCACACUGGAACUGAGACACGGUCCAGACUCCUACGGGAGGCAGCAGUGGGGAAUAUUGCACAAUGGGCGCAAGCCUGAUGCAGCCAUGCCGCGUGUAUGAAGAAGGCCUUCGGGUUGUAAAGUACUUUCAGCGGGGAGGAAGGGAGUAAAGUUAAUACCUUUGCUCAUUGACGUUACCCGCAGAAGAAGCACCGGCUAACUCCGUG